AGCUUCCUAGCUCAGCUGAUAAAGCACAGUUCGGGUAUCAGUGUACGGCUGUGGUCUCUGGUUCGAGUCCAGCCGAAGCUU
rnacentral:tRNA from 1 species